rnacentral:rRNA from 1 species
CAGCCGUAAACUAUGCUCGCUAGGUGUCAGGGACGGUGCGACCGUUUCUGGUGCCGCAGGGAAGCCGUGAAGCGAGCCACCUGGGAAGUACGGUCGCAAGGCUGAAACUUAAGGAUUGGCGGGGGAGCACCACAACGGGUGGAGCCUGCGGUUUAAUUGGACUCAACGCCGGGAAGCUCACCGGAUAAGACAGCGGAAUGAUUGCCGGGCUGAAGACCCUGCAUGACCAGCUGAGAGGUGGUGCAUGGCGUAGUCGUGU